rnacentral:rRNA from 1 species
AAUGAACGCUGGCGGCAUGCCUAACACAUGCAAGUCGAACGAAGCCUUCGGGCUUAGUGGCGCACGGGUGCGUAACGCGUGGGAAUCUGCCCUUGGGUUCGGAAUAACAGUGGGAAACUACUGCUAAUACUGAAUGAUGUCGUAAGACCAAAGAUUUAUCGCCCAGGGAUGAGCCCGCGUAGGAUUAGCUAGUUGGUGUGGUAAAAGCGCACCAAGGCGACGAUCCAGCUGGUCUGAGAGGAUGAUCAGCCACACUGGGACUGAGACACGGCCCAGACUCCUACGGGAGGCAGCAGUGGGGAAUAUUGGACAAUGGGCGAAAGCCUGAUCCAGCAAUGCCGCGUGAGUGAUGAAGGCCUUAGGGUUGUAAAGCUCUUUUACCCGGGAUGAUAAUGACAGUACCGGGAGAAUAAGCUCCGGCUAACUCCGUGCCAGCCGCCGCUGUAAC